rfam:Lupinus angustifolius cultivar Tanjil chromosome LG01, whole genome shotgun sequence.
AACUGCAUUACAGGGCAAGAUUCUCCAUUGGCAGGUAGAUCCACACUAUGUUAUAUGCAUCUCAGCCACAUACAUGCAAUAAAUUCUAGUGUGCAAUCUGCCAAAGGAUAUUUGCCAUGUGAUUCUUCU